rnacentral:rRNA from 1 species
ACGGAGCCAUCCUUGAAAUACCACCCUUUAACGUUUGAUGUUCUAACCCAGACCCGUAAUCCGGGUCGGGGACCGUGUCUGGUGGGUAGUUUGACUGGGGCGGUCUCCUCCCAAAGAGUAACGGAGGAGCACGAAGGUUGGCUAAGCAUGGUCGGACAUCAUGCGGUUAGUGCAAAGGCAUAAGCCAGCUUGACUGCGAGAGUGACGGCUCGAGCAGGUACGAAAGUAGGUCUUAGUGAUCCGGUGGUUCUGAAUGGAAGGGCCAUCGCUCAACGGAUAAAAGGUACUCCGGGGAUAACAGGCUGAUACCGCCCAAGAGUUCAUAUCGACGGCGGUGUUUGGCACCUCGAUGUCGGCUCAUCACAUCCUGGGGCUGAAGUAGGUCCCAAGGGUAUGGCUGUUCGCCAUUUAAAGUGGUACGCGAGCUGGGUUUAGAACGUCGUGAGACAGUUCGGUCCCUAUCUGCCGUGGGCGCUGGAAGAUUGAGAGGGGUUGCUCCUAGUACGAGAGGACCGGAGUGAACGCACCACUGGUGUACGGGUUGUGAUGCCAAUUGCAUUGCCCGGUAGCUAAGUGCGGAAGAGAUAACCGCUGAAAGCAUCUAAGCGGGAAACUUGC